rnacentral:rRNA from 1 species
AUUGAACGCUGGCGGCAUGCCUUACACAUGCAAGUCGAACGGCAGCAUGGAAGAGCUUGCUCUUCUGAUGGCGAGUGGCGAACGGGUGAGUAAAGCAUCGGAACGUACCGUGUAGUGGGGGAUAACGUAGCGAAAGUUACGCUAAUACCGCAUACGCACUGAGGUGGAAAGCAGGGGAUCGCAAGACCUUGCGCUAUACGAGCGGCCGAUGUCAGAUUAGCUAGUUGGUAGGGUAAAGGCCUACCAAGGCGACGAUCUGUAGCGGGUCUGAGAGGAUGAUCCGCCACACUGGGACUGAGACACGGCCCAGACUCCUACGGGAGGCAGCAGUGGGGAAUUUUGGACAAUGGGCGAAAGCCUGAUCCAGCCAUGCCGCGUGAGUGAAGAAGGCCUUCGGGUUGUAAAGCUCUUUCGGCUGGGAAGAAAUCGCACAGGCUAAUACUCUGUGUGGAUGACGGUACCAGCACAAGAAGCACCGGCUAACUACGUGCCAGCCGCCGCCGUAAAAC